AGGAAAAAGAAGAAAACAAGGGAGAAAAGCUUCGGCUAAAAAAAGAGCAAAGGAAAGACAAGAGCAAAAAAAAAGGAACAGAGCAAGAGGACAGAAGUAGAAAAGAGAGCGACGGCUGGAAAACAGAGAAGAAACUAGGGUUUUAGGGAGAACGAGACGAGAGAAAAAAGUGGGAGGAAAGGAGUUUUGGGCUAAGAAAAACCAAACAGAGGAAAAAAGCAACGGGAGAGUGAGAGAUAGAGUGUGAGGGAGAGAUUGAGAGAGUUUCGGGAGUGAUCAGAAAAGAAGAGAAAGCAAGGAAGAAAAGAAAAAGUUGCGGGCUUGGGGAAAAAAGGAAAAAAGGGAGGAGCUUUGGGAAAGUUGGAAAAAAAAAAAGAAAAAACCAGAAAGCUAGGGUUGAAGGGGCGCGGAAAAGAAACCAAGCAAGAAACAGGAGAGCGGUGGGAUAAGAAAAAGGGAACUUUGACGGUUGGCUGAGCAAAGACCUGUUCCUCUGAUCACCUCACGCUUCAAUUUGCCUUUUAAAAGGCUAAAGAGAACGGUUUCCAAUUCAAAGGCAUGGUAAGCUAUCUCCAAGGAGCAAUGGACCUUUCCAGAAGAAUCAAUGAUAAUGCUUACAAAUUAGAUCUUCCAGGUGAGUUUAAUAUUAGUGCUACAUUUAACGUUGCUAAUUUAAGUCCCUUUCUUACAUAUUAUGAACGUGAUUUGAGGACAAAUCCUUCUCAAGAGAAGGGGAAUGAUACGGGAGAUUGUGAGGAGCAAGCUGUCCAAGCUUCUAGUUUUGAUCUGGUGAAGGUUCUUGUUGGUCUGGUCAUGCGAGCUCGAGCAAAAAAGUCCAAGGAAUCUCUUCAAACUUUAGUUCGUGCUGUUCAAGAACAAGAAGGGGUUCACAAGUUCAUUGAAGGGGUCGAGUCUCAAUCUAUCAAAGUUGUGAUUCAAGUUGAAGACAAUGAUGGUGAUCCGCCUAACAAUCCUUAAUGGAAGAUGGUUUGCAAGUCCCAAAAACGAAUGAGUCAGGUUUUGGGGUAGAAGACUUUAUUCAUGUUAGGUGUGCCCGCAUCUAACUCAGUACGAGUCUUUUGGUCGCGUGGUUUUCUUUAGUCUUUUGCAUAGUUUGUCUCUUAAAUAAAGUCGGACCAUAUUUGUGUUGUGUUGGAUCUGAUUAAUAAGUCUUAGACGUUUAGCCACUUGAAUAAAUCGACCAGCUUUGAAUGUCUUUGGACCAUUAAUUUGUUAGGUGAUUUAAGUCCAAUCCGAUGGAUAGGAUAAAUGAUGUAAUCCUAAUCCCAUUUGAAUUCGUUUAGUAGUGGUAGUAUUGGUUAUAAAUAGCCGUUUCUUUGCCUUGUAAUGGGGGAGAGGAAAUUUCCAGCAAUAAACACUUGUGUUAUUCUCUUGGCU